rnacentral:lncRNA from 1 species
GAUCAAUGUGCUCCUGCAGAGACUGGCAAAUGGGAACCAGGAAGAGCAAAGAGCAGCUGCUGGCGAACUCCGACUACUCGCAAAAAGAAAUGCUGACAAUAGAAUAUGUAUUGCCGAAGCAGGUGCCAUCCCGAUACUUGUACAACUCCUUUCAUCUCCUGAUCCGAGGACACAGGAGCAUGCGGUUACAGCACUCCUGAACCUUUCGAUCAAUGAGGAUAACAAGGGUCUAAUCGUAAAAGCGAAGGCAAUCCCAAAGAUAGUAGAGGCGCUGGAAAGUGAGAGUAUGGAGGCAAGGG